rnacentral:sRNA from 1 species
GUCUUGAUAAUCUUUAACAAAGAACGAUUGGUGACUUCCAUCUGGCCGUUAGCUUGGGGAUGGCCAGGAGAGGAAAAACAUAUCUUAAUGACCCUGAUCUCUCCCAAUAAGCGUGCGGGCCCUCUUUGGGCUCGGGGUUAUGGUUGGGUCCUGUCAUUAUUUCGUCUGGGUUGUUCGGG